rnacentral:rRNA from 1 species
GGUCAGGACGAACGCUGGCGGCGUGCCUAAUACAUGCAAGUCGAACGGUCUUUCUAUGGAAGCUUGCUUCCACUGAGAAGAUAGUGGCGAACGGGUGAGUAACACGUGGGUAACCUGCCCAUAAGAGGGGGGAUAACAUCCGGAAACGGGUGCUAAUACCGCAUAGUUUUCUUGAUCGCAUGAUUGGGAAAGGAAAGACGGCCUUUGUGCUGUCGCUUAUGGAUGGACCCGCGGCGUAUUAGUUAGUUGGUGAGGUAACGGCUCACCAAGACGAUGAUACGUAGCCGACCUGAGAGGGUGAUCGGCCACAUUGGGACUGAGACACGGCCCAAACUCCUACGGGAGGCAGCAGUAGGGAAUCUUCCGCAAUGGACGAAAGUCUGACGGAGCAACGCCGCGUGAGUGAAGAAGGUUUUCGGAUCGUAAAACUCUGUUGUCAGAGAAGAACAAGUUGGAGAGUAACUGCUCCAGCCUUGACGGUAUCUAACCAGAAAGCCACGGCUAACUACGUGCCAGCCGCGGC